rnacentral:rRNA from 1 species
GAUGAACGCUGGCGGCGUGCCUAAUACAUGCAAGUCGAGCGAACGGACGAGAAGCUUGCUUCUCUGAUGUUAGCGGCGGACGGGUGAGUAACACGUGGAUAACCUACCUAUAAGACUGGGAUAACUUCGGGAAACCGUAGCUAAUACCGGAUAAUAUUUUGAACCGCAUGGUUCAAAAGUGAAAGACGGUCUUGCUGUCACUUAUAGAUGGAUCCGCGCUGCAUUAGCUAGUUGGUGAGGUAACGGCUUACCAAGGCAACGAUGCAUAGCCGACCUGAGAGGGUGAUCGGCCACACUGGAACUGAGACACGGUCCAGACUCCUACGGGAGGCAGCAGUAGGGAAUCUUCCGCAAUGGGCGAAAGCCUGACGGAGCAACGCCGCGUGAGUGAUGAAGGUCUUCGGAUCGUAAAACUCUGUUAUUAGGGAAGAACAUAUGUGUAAGUAACUGUGCACAUCUUGACGGUACCUAAUCAGAAAGCCACGGCUAACUACGUG